AACGAACGCUGGCGGCAGGCUUAACACAUGCAAGUCGAACGGGCUGGGGGCUUCGGUCCCCGAUGCUCGUGGCGCACGGGUGUGUAACACGUGGGAAUAUGCUCUUUAUUACGGUAUAACCAAGUGAAACUUUUGCUACUACCGUAUAAGCCCUUCGCGGGCUAGAUUUAUCGCUAAAGGAUUAGGCCGCGUCUGGUUAUGUAGUUGGUGAUGUACUGGCUCACCAAGGCGACGUUCCGUAGCUGGUCUGUGAGGAUGAUCAGCCACAAUGGGACUGAGACACGGCCCAGACUGCGACGGGAGGGAGCAGUGGAGAAUAUUGGGCAAUGGGGGCAACCCUGAUCAAGCCAUGCCGCGUGAGUGAAGAAGGCGUUCGGGUUGUAAAGCCCCUUCGACGGGGACGAUGAUGACGGUACCCGUAAAAGAAGCCCCGGCAAACUUCGUG
rnacentral:rRNA from 1 species